AGUGUGCCUUAGGGAGAGCAUCAUGUCACAGCACCACACCCAGGCAAGAAGGUGCGCGAUGGGUGUUGACGCGAUGUGAUUUCUGCCUACUGCUCUGAAUGUCAAAGUGAAGAAAUUCAAUGAAGCGCGGGUAAACGGCGGGAGUAACUAUGACUCUUUUACGGUAGCCACAUGCCUCGUCAUCUAAAUAGUGACGCACAUGAAUGGAUGAACGAUAUU
rnacentral:ncRNA from 1 species